AGUGGGGAAUAUUGCACAAUGGGCGCAAGCCUGAUGCAGCCAUGCCGCGUGUGUGAAGAAGGCCUUCGGGUUGUAAAGCACUUUCAGUUGUGAGGAAGGUUGUGUGGUUAAUACCCACAUAAUUUGACGUUAGCAACAGAAGAAGCACCGGCUAACUCCGUGCCAGCAGCCGCGGUAAUACGGAGGGUGCGAGCGUUAAUCGGAAUUACUGGGCGUAAAGCGUACGCAGGCGGCUUUUUAAGCCAGAUGUGAAAUCCCCGGGCUUAACCUGGGAAUGGCAUUUGGAACUGGAAAGCUAGAGUUUUGUAGAGGGUGGUAGAAUUUCAGGUGUAGCGGUGAAAUGCGUAGAGAUCUGAAGGAAUACCAGUGGCGAAGGCGGCCACCUGGACAAGAACUGACGCUCAUGUACGAAAGCGUGGGGAGCAAA
rnacentral:rRNA from 1 species